CAAACGACUCUCGGCAACGGAUAUCUCGGCUCUCGCAUCGAUGAAGAACGUAGCGAAAUGCGAUACUUGGUGUGAAUUGCAGAAUCCCGUGAACCAUCGAGUCUUUGAACGCAAGUUGCGCCCGAAGCCAUUAGGCUGAGGGCACGCCUGCCUGGGCGUCACGC
rnacentral:rRNA from 2 species